UGUCCUCUGCCGUGUUUGACAGCUUGCGCUAACAUUUGCCUUGUCCCUUAAUUACGACCUUGGGGACAAGCCCCUACGGGCCGUGCGCAUGUCCGCCGCGAAGCGGAAAGCCUGACGCUCGUGCGGCUCUCCCCACCUGAUCCUCGGGAUCAAGGUCGUUUCGCACGCAUCGGCAUGGCGGAGGAUGC
rnacentral:other from 1 species